UACGGAGGGAGCUAGCGUUAUUCGGAAUUAGUCUGGGCGUAAAGCGCACGUAGGCGGCUUUGUAAAGUAAGGAGGUGCAAAGCCCCAGAGCUCAACUCUGGAAUUGCCUUUAGACUGCAUCGCUUGAAUCAGUGGAGAGGUCAGUGGAAUUCCGAGUGUAGAGGUGAAAUUCGUAGAUAUUCGGAAGAACCACCAGUGGCGAAGGCGGCUGACUGGACAUG
rnacentral:rRNA from 1 species